GCGUGUACCUGUAUAAAGGGAAGCCGGGUUUUCUCGUUGGAUUAUUUCCUCCCGAGCUUCUGGUGCGAUACAGCGGUAGACGCUGGCUUGUUGGUUAAAUUACUGAGGCGAUCAGGUCAUGUGAUUGCUACAGCGCGGCUGUUUUUCUUUCCUUUGCUCCAGCCGUGGUGAGGAGACGCGUGAGUGCAUCCGCCGUGCAGUACAGCGCCUCCAAGUUCUGGGGGUUUGAUUGCUGCCGUGCCCUCUCGGG